UGCAGUUUUAGUGAAAGGAUGGGGAGGUGACGAUGAUGGGCUGCUCAAAUAUCUUCUGGCUAAAGGAUCCGGAAACGGCGAUGAGAUAAACACAUUGUUGCCGCUACUUUUCGGACUAAUCGCGUUACUGAUUAUGAAGCUGCCCACAUAAAUACAGCGGAUGAUAACGAUUACGGGGCUAUCAGACCUUCAGUUUCCGAUGUUGACUAUGGUAUACUUGUAUUUUUUAUACGUACUUAAUCUCUGCGAAGCAGUAAGAAUGUGAUUUGCCAUUUUA